rnacentral:rRNA from 1 species
AUUGUACGCUGGCGGCAUGCUUUACACAUGCAAGUCGAACGGUAACAGGUUAAGCUGACGAGUGGCGAACGGGUGAGUAAUGCAUCGGAACGUGCCCGAUCGUGGGGGAUAACGCAGCGAAAGCUGCGCUAAUACCGCAUACGAUCUGAGGAUGAAAGCGGGGGACCGUAAGGCCUCGCGCGAUCGGAGCGGCCGAUGUCAGAUUAGGUAGUUGGUGGGGUAAAGGCUCACCAAGCCGACGAUCUGUAGCUGGUCUGAGAGGACGACCAGCCACACUGGAACUGAGACACGGUCCAGACUCCUACGGGAGGCAGCAGUGGGGAAUUUUGGACAAUGGACGCAAGUCUGAUCCAGCCAUUCCGCGUGCAGGAUGAAGGCCCUCGGGUUGUAAACUGCUUUUGUACGGAACGAAAAGGUCUCUCUUAAUACGGGGGACUCAUGACGGUACCGUAAGAAUAAGCACCGGCUAACUACGUGCCAGCAGCCGCGGUAA